GACAGAGGGUGCGAACGUUGUUCGGAAUUACUGGGCGUAAAGCGCGUGUAGGCGGCUCGAUAAGUCGGAUGUGAAAGCCCUGGGCUCAACCUAGGAAGUGCAUUCGAAACUGCUGAGCUUGAGUUCUGGAGAGGAAGGCGGAAUUCUCGGUGUAGAGGUGAAAUUCGUAGAUAUCGAGAGGAACACCGGUGGCGAAGGCGGCCUUCUGGACAGCAACUGACGCUGAGACGCGAAAGCGUGGGGAGCGAACAGG
rnacentral:rRNA from 1 species